rnacentral:rRNA from 1 species
UUGCCCUAGUAACGGCGAGUGAAGCGGCAACAGCUCAAAUUUGAAAUCUGGCUCACGCCCGAGUUGUAAUUUGUAGAGGAUGCUUUUGGUGCGGUGCCUUCUGAGUUCCCUGGAACGGGACGCCAGAGAGGGUGAGAGCCCCGUAUAGUUGGACACCAAGCCUCUGUAAAGCUCCUUCGACGAGUCGAGUAGUUUGGGAAUGCUGCUCAAAAUGGGAGGUAAAUUUCUUCUAAAGCUAAAUACCGGCCAGAGACCGAUAGCGUACAAGUAGAGUGAUCGAAAGAUGAAAAGCACUUUGAAAAGAGGGUUAAACAGCACGUGAAAUUGUUGAAAGGGAAGCGCUUGUGACCAGACUUGCGCCUUGCGAAUCAUCCAGCGUUCUCGCUGGUGCACUUCGCUUGGCUCAGGCCAGCAUCGGUUUUCCCAGGGGGAUAAAGGCGUCGGGAACGUAGCUCUCUACGGGGAGUGUUAUAGCCCGGCGUACAAUAUCCUUGGGGGGACCGAGGUUCGCGCUCUGCAAGGAUGCUGGCGUAAUGGUCAUCAGCGACCCGUCUUGAAACACGGACCAAGGAGUCAAGCAUUAGGGCGAGUGUUUGGGUGUUAAACCCGCACGCGAAAUGAAAGUGAACGCAGGUGAGAGCUUCGGCGCAUCAUCGACCGAUCCUGAUGUAUUCGGAUGGAUUUGAGUAAGAGCCUUACCGCUUGGACCCGAAAGAUGGUGAACUAUGCUUGUAUAGGGUGAAGCCAGAGGAAACUCUGGUGGAGGCUCGCAGCGGUUCUGACGUGCAAAUCGAUCGUCAAAUAUGAGCAUGGGGGCGAAAGACUAAUCGAACCAUCUAGUAGC